UGGGGAAUAUUGCACAAUGGGCGCAAGCCUGAUGCAGCCAUGCCGCGUGUGUGAAGAAGGCCUUCGGGUUGUAAAGCACUUUCAGCGAGGAGGAAGGCAGUCGUGUUAAUAGCACGAUUGAUUGACGUUACUCGCAGAAGAAGCACCGGCUAACUCCGUGCCAGCAGCCGCGGUAAUACGGAGGGGGCAAGCGUUAAUCGGAAUUACUGGGCGUAAAGCGCACGCAGGCGGUUUGUUAAGUCAGAUGUGAAAUCCCCGCGCUUAACGUGGGAACUGCAUUUGAAACUGGCAAGCUAGAGUCUUGUAGAGGGGGGUAGAAUUCCAGGUGUAGCGGUGAAAUGCGUAGAGAUCUGGAGGAAUACCGGUGGCGAAGGCGGCCCCCUGGACAAAGACUGACGCUCAGGUGCGAAAGCGUGGGGAGCAAACA
rnacentral:rRNA from 1 species